rnacentral:rRNA from 1 species
AGCCCUUGACAUCCCGGUCGCGGACUCCAGAGACGGAGUUCUUCAGUUCGGCUGGACCGGAGACAGGUGCUGCAUGGCUGUCGUCAGCUCGUGUCGUGAGAUGUUGGGUUAAGUCCCGCAACGAGCGCAACCCCCGUCUUAGUUGCUACCAUUUAGUUGAGCACUCUAAGGAGACUGCCGGUGAUAAGCCGCGAGGAAGGUGGGGAUGACGUCAAGUCCUCAUGGCCCUUACGGGCUGGG